UGAGGAGGAAGCCCCGGCUAACUACGGGCCAGCAGCCGCGGUAAUACGUAGGGGGCUAGCGUUAUCCGGAUUUACUGGGCGUAAAGGGUGCGUAGGCGGUCUUUCAAGUCAGGAGUGAAAGGCUACGGCUCAACCGUAGUAAGCGCUUGAAACUGGGAGACUUGAGUGCAGGAGAGGAGAGUGGAAUUCCUAGUGUAGCGGUGAAAUGCGUAGAUAUUAGGAGGAACACCAGUUGCGAAGGCGGCUCUCUGGACUGUAACUGACGCUGAGGCACGAAAGCGUGGGGAGCAAACAGGAUUAGAUACCCUGGUAGUCCACGCUGUAAACGAUGAGUACUAGGUGUCGGGGGUUACCCCC
rnacentral:rRNA from 1 species